UACGGGAGGCAGCAGUGGGGAAUAUUGCACAAUGGGCGCAAGCCUGAUGCAGCCAUGCCGCGUGUAUGAAGAAGGCCUCGGGUUGUAAAGUACUUUCAGCGGGGAGGAAGGCGAUGUGGUUAAUAACCGCGUCGAUUGACGUUACCCGCAGAAGAAGCACCGGCUAACUCCGUGCCAGCAGCCGCGGUAAUACGGAGGGUGCAAGCGUUAAUCGGAAUUACUGGGCGUAAAGCGCACGCAGGCGGUCUGUUAAGUCAGAUGUGAAAUCCCCGGGCUUAACCUGGGAACUGCAUUUUGAACUGGCAGGCUUGAGUCUCGUAGAGGGGGUAGAAUUCCAGGUGUAGCGGUGAAAUGCGUAGAGAUCUGGAGGAAUACCGGUGGCGAAGGCGGCCCCUGGGACGAAGACUGACGCUCAGGUGCGAAAGCGUGGGGAGCAAACGAGGGAUUAGGAUACC
rnacentral:rRNA from 1 species